rnacentral:rRNA from 1 species
AGUCGAGCGAGAUUUUUUUCUGUAGCAAUACAGGAAAAAGUCUAGCGGCGAACGGGUGCUUAACACGUGGGCAAUCUGCCGAGAAGUGGGGGAUAGCUCGCCGAAAGGCGAAUUAAUACCGCAUGUGAUCAGAGUGGACAUCCAUUCAAAAUCAAAGUCGGGGCAACCUGACGCUUCUUGAGGAGCCCGCGGCCUAUCAGCUAGUUGGUGGGGUAACGGCCCACCAAGGCUUUGACGGGUAGCUGGUCUGAGAGGACGACCAGCCACACUGGGACUGAGACACGGCCCAGACACCUACGGGUGGCAGCAGUCGAGAAUUUUUCUCAAUGGGGGAAACCCUGAAGGAGCGACGCCGCGUGGAGGAUGAAGGUCUUCGGGUUGUAAACUCCUGUCAUUUGGGAACAAGGUGUGCGCGUUAACUGCGCGCGCAUUGAUAGUACCAGAAGAGGAAGAGACGGCUAACUCUGUGCCAGCAGCCGCGGUAAUACAGAGGUCUCAAGCGUUGUUCGGAUUCAUUGGGCGUAAAGGGUGCGUAGGCGGCGUGGUAAGUCGGGUGUGAAAUCUCGGAGCUUAACUCCGAAACUGCAUUCGAUACUGCCGUGCUUGAGGACUGGAGAGGAGACUGGAAUUUACGGUGUAGCGGUGAAAUGCGUAGAUAUCGUAAGGAAGACCAGUGGCGAAGGCGGGUCUCUGGACAGUUCCUGACGCUGAGGCACGAAGGCCAGGGGAGCAAACGGGAUUAGAUACCCCGGUAGUCCUGGCAGUAAACGGUGCACGUGUGGUGUGGGGAGGAUUCGAC